rnacentral:lncRNA from 1 species
GAGCUCAUAGGUGGGAGAUAAAGUAUACAUACUUACAAGACAUUUAUUGCAUAGUCAAACCAUGGAUCUAGAGAAACAAUUCAAUAAGUCAAAUCAAGAUGUGCAUGUGUGGCGAAUGAAUGGUGUAUGGUGAUGAUGGUGAUAACAAUGGUGAAAGUCUAAUUCUACUUUUUGCUCUUUUGAGGGGAUACAUAGCUUUCUUGCUCUUUGAAACUUUUGAGGAGAAUGAGAUGCUACGGUGGUUCCGGCGGCGCCUCUUCUUCGUGUAUAACUAUAUUCUCUCUCCACACUUGACUCAAUGCUACGGUCUCCUUAGGACAGUUCUAUUUAAGUUGUAUUUCUUCAGACCUUACCACUUCUCCUUCGUAGUCUGCCCAUCCGUCCUUGAUGAUUUGCCUCUUCUGGUUGCAGUUGCGUCGUCUUCUUCUUUUCUUGACCUACUUAGAAUCUUCAACUAUAUAAUUAGGGUCAGUAAAAUAGCGGCGUACCUUCUCAGAGAGGAAGUGCAUGUGGACUUCUCCGGUUCCAAUGUAGAUGAUUGCUUUAACAAUGCUGAGGAAAGGUCUCCCAAGGAUGAUGGGUGGAUCAUACUCGUCUUCGCCCAUGUCAAUAACCUGAAAGUCUGUAUGGACAUAAUGAUCGUCUAUUUUGACAGGACAUCAGUUACUAUACCUUCAACCUUUCGGAAUGUCUGAUCUACCAUCUGGAGUUGAAUGUAUGUCGGUUUUAGUGGCGUGGUUCCGAACAAGAGCCGAUAGGUGACUGCGGCCAUUAUGUUGACGCCUGAUCCGGUGUCGCAAAGCGUUUUGUAGAAGUUGUACCCAUUGAUGGAGCAAUGGAUGCUUGGCAUACCUGGGUCAUCCUCCUUAGUUAAGAAGGGUGACUUAAGUCAAUGAUCUUGACCUCCAUGAACUGCAGUGACCAUCUUAGCUGACUCGGUCCACACUUGCUUGUUCCUGUUCCUCCUGUUGGUCCUCUUCCUUGGUUCAUGUCGGGAUUGCUCUGGGAUUUGUGUAGUCUUGUUCUUGAAGGAAAACGUCUCCUUCCUCCCUUUGAUGUAGAAACUAAUGUUGGCAGCACUAGCGUAGAUGACAGCUCCCGAGGUGUUCAGGAAUAGCCUCCAUAAGAUGACGGGUGCCCUCUCAUCAUUACCGCUCUCUAUCACCACGAAGUCUGCUGGGGCGUACUGUUGACACUAGCUAACACCACUUAGAUACUAGGUUGUCAUCCCCAGCAUGGUGCCAGAGUGUAUGAAGGUAUUUAUGAAUGUAAAGGCUCUCUAGAAAAUAAUCUAUUCUAUCCGCAAGCGCACAGAUAAAACACCUCAUUGUAGCAUUUCACUAGGAAAGUAUUCCAGGUAUCGUUAUUUAUAAUUUUGCUCAGGAAAAAGGGUGAAAUGAAGAUAAGGAUAAAUCUAUUAAGGCAUAGACUAGAGAUAAACUUGCAAGAACAUGAUUACUAAAGAAAAACUCGUCACACAGUCACUUACUUUGACAGGGGGUAAGCCAUAAUAAUAAUGAUAAUGUAAUAUAAGCUCAUGGGUAAAUAACACAGCGAUUAGAAAAUAGACUACUCCUCAUAUAUGUAAGGUGACGUCGGAUUAGCUAGAGAAUGGAUUCUAAGUUAUCUACUAUCUACUAAGUCACAAUCUACUCUAGUUAUCUACAAGAUCAUAUAUAGCAUAAAAGACUCUUUAUUCAUGUAUAAGGAACAUUGCUAAAGUAAAUCAGAGCAUCGCAAGACUUACUCCGCAAUACAAAUUCUGCCUGUCCUAUCAACGGAGGGUGGACUAUAUAAGAAUCAACGAAGCUGUCACUAUCGCGAACUACCACACAACCCGGCUGUUGGGUAUUCUUAACAUCAUUACCAAAAGUAGACUUAGUUUUCUAAUUCUAGUAACGGUGCCAAAAAUGCCAAACCUAUCCCUCAUACCACUUAAGCCAAGUUGUCAUCCCCAGCAUGACAUGAGAGACGCGGUAUUGAAAUAUGCAAUUGCUCUUCUAAAUAUAUAAUAAAUGGGAUCUGCAAGCGCAUAGAUUAAUACCGAUGUAGCAUUUUAACUGGGAAGUAUUCCAGGUAUCGUUAUUUAUACUUUUACCACUGGGAAGGGAUUAGCAAUCAUCAAUAUUGAUUACAGAAUAGAAUAUGAGAUUGAGUAUCUAUCAUUGCAUGUAUAAUUGAGAACAGUUAUCUAACUCUUUCAUAGAGGGAUAAGUGUCACAUAAAAGAUAUAAAACAAUGAAUAGUGACAAAGAUAAUUGAUCUGAUCAGCCACAUAUAAAUAUGAUAAGCACCUCAAUUAGAUACUCUAGAAAGUCAUUAGCAUGGUAUUAGAACGAACUCCAAGAAUAUUUCCUAAGUUAUUCUCAACUAUAUAGUCUAGCAUUAUCAUAGUUGGUGCAAGCAUACUUAGCAAUCAUUGCGAGAAAAGACUAAGCCAAUUAUAUAACUAUGAGAAACUAAGAACAAUAUAAUCUUGAAUAUAAACAAGUAGAGCAAAGUCAUAAGCAAUAUAUUGAAGUUGAACAAAGUCAUAUUUAUAAUAUUGAAGAACAAAGAUGAUUAGAAGAACAUUAGAAGAACAAUUAGAGAAUUACCAAGAAUCCUCUUGACAGAUCCGAAAACCAAUCAAACAUUGACUCCUUCUAGUUCUAAUCCUAUGUAGCUAUGCUAAUCUAGAUGUCUAAUUGAUGUGGUGGCUCUAAUCUUGAUCAGAGGCUUCUACUCCCUUGAGGAAUAAUGAAUUAGGGUUGAAAGGCUCUCUCCUCCAGGGGCCAGGGAGUCUGGUUUUAUAGUCCCUUCAAGUGAAUAUGGGCCGUUGGAUCAAACCGACAUUGAUUGAACGGUUAUCCUUGAUCCUUUAGGUCGGUGGAGAUCUUCCCCGAAACAGAGUCCUGAUUGGGCUCGGCAGGAAGGCGGGCGCCCAGGGCAACUGGGCGGGCGCCCAGUGCCUGGCCCCGUUCGGCCUCCGCUUCCUUUCCGUGCCUUCUGGAGUCUUCUAGAUGUAAGAUAAUUGCGCGGCAUGUUGAUAUCUCUAUGUAAUCCCGACGUGUGGGCCUUUCUUCCGUAUUUCCUGAUAACCCCCUGCAGAAAUAGACAAACACCAAAACUCGUGGAAUUCUGUCAGAUAAGACCCUAAGUCUAGAUGUUGAUUUCAUUUGGAUCCUUUUCUUUGUUUAUUUAAUAAUUAAAUUUGAUACUUAAGGACCGUCAACAAACUCCCCCAAGCUUACCUCUUGCUCGUCCCUGAGCAAGGAUAAUCUCAGCGAUGGAUUAGAAGUUGUUGCAAUAUCUUUAGAAAUUGACGGUACACAUGCUUUUAAAUAAGAUCUCAUCUCUGAGUUAGAGUAAACUGUCAAGACUUAAAACUUACUUACUUUACCUUUCACCAGGGGACUUGUAACCGUCACUUCUGUCUUGAGUAGUUAAAAGAUAGAACAGUCUAGUCAAGUGCCAUGUCUCUUAUUCUUGAUCAGCUAUAGCUCUGGAGUUUUUGCAGAUUUUCAAAUAAAACUUAGAGAUUCCUUGUAUGAUUCUCUCAAAUCUCUCUUUUGUGGUAUUUCUGGAUCCUUACCAAGGCAGUGAUGGUAUAUGCCCUUCUCUCAAUAUAUAUGGUAUUUGUGGUAUAAGGCAUAGUGAUAUUGCCUUCUCUCUCACCCUACUCUAAUAAGGCUUUGAUAUCUGGAGCUCAUAGGUGGGAGAUAAAGUAUACAUACUUACACGACAUUUAUUGUAUAGUCAAACCAUGGAUCCAAAGAAACAAAUCAUUAAGCCAAAUCAAGAUGUGCAUGUGUGGCGAAUGAAUGGUGUAUGGUGAUGAUGGUGACAACAAUGGUGAAAGUCUAAUUCUACUUUUGCUCUUUGAGGGGAUACAUACCUUCCUUGCUUUCUGAAAUUUUAUGGGGAGAAUGAGAUGCUCUUCUUUUUCUUUCCUCUCAGGUGGGUAUCUUGUACCCCUAAUUCUACUGUCAGACACUUGUCCAUUUUUACCUCUCGUCUCACUUUUUCUUUUCUUUCGAGGUUCCGGGCACUUGUCCCUUUUUAUUUCCUCGUAUCUUUUUUUCUUUUUUUUCAGAGCACUCAUCUCUUGAGAUAAUAUAGCAAGUGGUAGUAACAAGAUAACUUGAGCAUUUAUUUCAUAAGGGAAAAACAGAAAUAUUUUUGGUUAUUCUCUCCUGGAUUAUGAGUAGAAUAUUUUUGGAUGAUUCUGGAGAUGGAAAUGGGUGGAUAUAUAUGGAUGGUACUUCCGGAAUAGAAGUAGCAUGUGUGAAUGAACGUGCAAGUGAAUCUUGAUUUAACCACAUGAUAAGCUCCUAAGGGUCUACACAGCUUUACCAAACUCAAUGCUCAUAAGCAGAAAAUAGUAAAUGUGUGGCUCAAAGUCGAACAAGCAUGUAUAUAUGGUUGUGGUAGGAAUUUAAACUCUCAUCAUACAGGAACUCAUCAUGUAAUAUUUUAAAGAUUUUAAAAGAUAAAAUUCUCCAGAAUUCUAGCAUCUCUAGGAACAGAUAAACAGCAGCUCAACCUUCCCAUAUCAUAUCCGUUAACAACUUAGACAUCAGAUCAAGUUUUCAUCCCACAAGUUCAGGUUUAGAGCAAGCUUUAAAUUAUAACAGUUAUGUCUAAACUUGAGAGAGAACUUCAAAUUUGAAAAAUUAGACAGAGCAACUAUUCAUCAUAUCCAUGCUAGACUUUUAUUAUUAAGAUUCAGAUUAGCAUAGCCACUUUAUUUAUUUAUUUAACAACCUAAGCAAAAGACAUAUAUAUAAGCACAAAAUCUUUAUUUGGUUUUCCAUAGUUAUAUUUUAAUAUAGUAUAAGUAUAAAGAUAGAUAGAUAAAAAUACUUAGCAGGAUAAAUAGGGGUGCUCUCCCCUAAGCUGAAUUUUGACGUAAUUUCUCUUGAUGUAGCUAGCAGGUGACAGAGGUGUAUUUGAAUGUCAGCAGCAUUCUGACAGCGAUUAGAAUGUCCUCCGUCUGCUAGUCUUCUUGAUUCUUAAAAUCUAUGGAGCUCAAAUAGACAACAAAGCUUGUGGAACUGAUUAAGUGUUAGCAUAAAUAUCUAGCCUUUAUCAUGUUGAGUCUCCUUAAUAAAUGUUACUCCCAAUUUUUUUAUAUUUUUAUUUUAUAAAGUAGAAAAGAAAUAUUUAUUUUAUUUUUAUGCCACCACAGUGAAUGUACUUAUGGGUUUUAUGCCACUCGUAUACUCACAUGGGGCUUACUGUUUUUAACAUUUUUAUUUUCUUUUUAGGAUAGUAUGAACAUGAUUAACUAAAUAAACUAGUUGAAAUAAUUGAAAGGAAAAAGAUAACUACCAAGUUUACCUCUUGGCAAGGCGUUCGGUGUUUUUAAGUCCUCCGAACGGGACUCUCCUCUUUCUCAAUUGUCCUGGGAUUCGUUGGGUGGCGUAGUCGGUACUUCCAGCGGCGCCUCCUCUUCAUGUAUAGUUAUCUUCUCUUUCCAUACCUGACUCGGUGCUACGGUCUCCUCUGGAUAAUUCUGUUUAAACUGUACAUCUUCUGACCUUACAACUUCUCCUGCAUAGUCUGCCCAUCCGUCCUUGAUGAUUUGCCUCCUCUGGUUGCGGUUGCGUCGUUUUCUUACCUGCUUAGAUUCUUCAACGAUAUAGUUAGGGUCAGUAAAAUAACGGCGUACCUUCUCUGAGGGGAAGUGCAUAUGGACUUCUCCGGUUCCAAUGUAGAUGAUUACUUUAACGGUGCUUAGGAACGGUCUUCCAAGGAUGAUGGGUGGAUCGUAUUCAUCUUCUCCCAUGUUAAUAUCCUGAAAGUCUGUGUAGACAAAAUGAUCGUCUAUUUUGACUGGGACAUCAGUUACUGUUUCUUUAACCUCUCGAAACGUCUGAUCUGCCAUCUGGAGCUGAAUGUAUGUUGGUUUUAGGGGUAUGGUUCCGAACAAGAGCCGAUAGGUGACUGCGGCCAUUAUGUUGACGCCCGAUCCGGUGUCGCAAAACGUCUUGUAGAAGCUGUAUCCAUUUAUGGAGCAGUAGAUGGUUGGAAUUCCUGGGUCGUCCUUCUUGGUCAAAAACAGUGACUUAAGUUGAUGAUCUUGACCUCCAUGAACUGCAGUGACCAUCUUAGCUGACUCGGUCCACACUUGCUUGUUCCUAUUCCUCCUGUUGGUUCUCUUCCUUGAUUCUCGUAUGGAUUGAUCUGGGAUUUGUGUAGUCUUGUUCUUGAAGAAAAAUGUCUCCUUCCUCCAUUUGAUGU